UGUAGGACAGAUCACCAAAAAAUCAUAGUAAGUGCACACUGUAACUCUUUCUCAUUUUUUUCUUCUGCUUCUAGAUCCUCGGUUAUUUUACCUAAGUUAAGUGAUGGAAACUUACACUAAAGAAAAAAAAUCACCCUUGGAUCUUUGGCAUUCAUAUUUGUGUGAAAGAAUCUAGGAUGUUCCGAGAAAACACAUCAGCUGAUUGCUUAAAUAAAAUAACAGCCUCUACUGAAGAUGGUGCUUUCCAAAGAAAAGUCCAUAGUGCAAGAAUCCUUAGCCCAGAAGAAGCUGAGAGACUGUCAAAAGAUCAGGUUUUGGUGUCUGAGUUCAAAAAACUAAAACUGGAGAAAGAGGCACAGAAGAACUGGGAUCUGUUUUACAAAAGAAACAGCACCAACUUCUUCAAAAACAGACAUUGGACAACCAGAGAGUUUCAAGAGUUAAAAGCAUGUCGGGAGUUUGCAGAUCAGAAACUUACCAUUCUGGAAGCAGGCUGUGGGGUUGGGAACUGCUUGUUUCCACUCUUAGAAGAAGAUCUGAAUAUUUUUGCGUAUGCCUGUGAUUUCUCUCCUAGAGCUGUUGAGUAUGUGAAGAAAAAUGCCUUAUACAGUACUGAAAGAUGUAAAGUGUUCCAGUGUGAUCUUACCAAAGAUGAUCUUCUAGAAAAUAUACCAGCAGAUUCUGUGGAUGUUGUGACACUUAUAUUUGUGCUUUCUGCCAUUCAUCCUGAUAAGAUGCAUCUUGUCUUGAAGAACAUUUACAAGGUAUUAAAACCAGGGAAGUGUGUCUUGUUCAGAGACUAUGGACUGUAUGAUCAUGCAAUGCUCAGGUUUAAAUCUGGCAGCAAACUUGGAGAAAACUUCUAUGUUAGACAAGAUGGGACAAGAUCAUAUUUUUUUACUGAAGAGUUCUUGUCUCAGCUUUUCAAGGCUGAGGGAUAUGAGCAAGUGGUCAAUGAAUAUGUGCAUCGAGAAACUGUCAAUAGGAAAGAAGAUUUGCGUGUUCCAAGAGUUUUCCUUCAAAGCAAAUUUCAAAAGCCUUUCAGUAAGACAUAAGUUCUUGCUGAUUAGCAACAGCAUUACAUGUUUGAAAUGGAAGCUAGCAUGUAGUUUUUCCUUGUGUGUGCUCAUAUUUCCAGUAAACCAGAAAUGACUGCAUCCAGUACCUCUUGUUGGUUUUCAUCCUCAGAUACGAAAUAUGAAUGCUCCUUCUAAUUAAAAUUUACGAUGGUUUAGUGAUGCAGGCAACCAGCUGAGUAUCUGUAUUCCUGCCUCUAAAGUAAAUCCUGUGCAGCAUUGUUGAAGAAUCAGGUAAAGCACACUAAAUAUGUUAUUUGAAAG